rnacentral:lncRNA from 1 species
AACUAAAAUAUUUGGACAAAAGACUAAAUCGUAACAAACUGGGCUAAUUUGAAUAGAACUAAAAAAUUGAGUGGUGACACUCCUAAGAGAAUAUCAAGAUAAAGUGAGACCGGAAGGUAAUCUUGUCACGCACGUGUUCGUUAGUCUUCGAUUAACCGGUAAGAUCAGGUGAUCAGCUGAACCUAAUCCGUCUAAGUUAGUAAAAUUGAUAUCGGAAGAUAAAAUGGAGCCACUGAUAAUUUACGCAAUUUAUGUCCCUAGUCCAAGAUUUUGUGAACCACAUUGAAGUCAAC